UUUAUUAAAAUAAAUUGUAAACAGUGCUCCAGUGAAUAUCCUUAAACUGUGUAAUUAUUCCUAAUUGCCUGAAAAACUGAACCUCCUCUCCUCCCAGAAUUCUGUUCUACCUUCACAUGCUUGCAGGAGCCCAGCUAUAUGACAGGCUCAGUGUGGAAUCCUGAGCAGGCAGAAGAAGACAUUCUCCCCACUGGAAUCUGUGAUCUUAUGAAGAAGACAGCCUUGUCUCUGGCCAGAGUGGACAAGUGAAAAAUGGGAGGAUGAAAUACCCAGCCCUCUGACUCUGGAAGGUGCCAGGACCGAGCUCCUCUGGCCCCCGGUGAAGCCUCUCAUUCCUUCCAGUGCACAGAGGAUAAAGUACAGGGCCUCUUCUUUCCUUCCCUGCUUUCCUCCCUUCCUUCUUUCUUUCCUUCCUUCUUUCCAAAUGUCUAGGAAAUGUGACUCUUCUUGUUUCAGAUAUGUGCACUUUAGUAUGAUUUGAUUUAAUCUGUUUUUUUUUUUUUAAGCUGAAGGAAUGCUAGUGCUGGCACAGGUCUUUUUGUAUCAGUAAAAGGAAGCAACAAAGAAAAGAGGUAUGAAAAGUUCCUUUUGGUAUAAGAACAAUUUGUCAUAAGAUUCUGUACCCCAAAUACCCAGGCUCGAAGAGACUAUUUUUGCCAUCAGUCUUGUCACCCAAGACUCUGUUCUUUCCCUUCUUUUCUUCCCUUCCUUCCCCCUCUGACACUUCUAUAUGUGUGCCUGAAUAUAGUAAAGUUGCUUUGAGCUUUUUUUUUUUUUUUUUCAAUUAUU